AGUCUCAAAAAUCACAUCUUCCACUGAAUGUUCCCUAAUUUCAUGAUGGUUAUCGUUGUACAGAUAAUGUCAUAGAGGAGAGUUGAAAGCCGGGUUGCCUGUCUUCAAAGCUCAUCAUCUCAGUUACCAGGCUGGAGGUGUCCUAAUAUGGAAUGGGAGGAAGAUGGAGUAGUUACUAGGUCUCCCAUACCCGGUGAUGUACAGUAGUGCUGGAUAGCUCUGGAGAGCAGUUCUGGCUGGCAAAGAAAGCAGCAAGGAUUGCUAGGAACCAUCUCGCCAUUCAAAGCUGAAAGUUGGCUGCAGAGUAGAUUUUGGUUUUCCCCAUGGAUGCUGAAAGAGAAGGGAAGAAUCAUUUCUGACAAUUCUGCAUGGCUUCUGCAUUGCAACUGGAUGUAGAAUCUGCUCCUGUUUGCAUCCAUGUUCCCAGGAUGAAUUUUUAUUGACAGAAGAAAAGGUAGCUGCCUCACCAGCCCAAGGAGAUGGUGCCAUAUUGAAGACUCAAUUUUGGUUUAUUUGGCUGGAAGAAGGGACACUCAGCAAUGUAGGAAACCAAUACAUCUUCCAAUCUGAUGGGAUCUUCAAACUCAUAAGAUUUUCCUAAAUGCUGACUGGAGGGUUUGAGCUGAUAUCCAUGGAACGAGAAUGAUUAUUCGUUUUUUGUGUUUUUUUGGUGCCAGGGAUUGAACUCGGGACCUUGAGCUUGCAAGGCAGGCACUGGAACCACUGAGCUAAAUCCCCGACCUGAGAAUGAUUAUUUGUAAUGCAGACCAUUUUCUUGCCUCCAGCCCAUAGAAAACUGUAUUUUGAGAAUGAUUUGAACUGUAAGAUAAAACUUUACAAUCCCUAAAUAAAAAAUUAAAGUUC